GAUGAACGCUGGCGGCGUGCCUAAUACAUGCAAGUCGAGCGAACGGACGAGAAGCUUGCUUCUCUGAUGUUAGCGGCGGACGGGUGAGUAACACGUGGAUAACCUACCUAUAAGACUGGGAUAACUUCGGGAAACCGGAGCUAAUACCGGAUGAUAUUUUGAACCGCAUGGUUCAAAAGUGAAAGACGGUCUUGCUGUCACUUAUAGAUGGAUCCGCGCUGCAUUAGCUAGUUGGUAAGGUAACGGCUUACCAAGGCAACGAUGCAUAGCCGACCUGAGAGGGUGAUCGGCCACACUGGAACUGAGACACGGUCCAGACUCCUACGGGAGGCCGCAGUAGGGAAUCUUCCGCAAUGGGCGAAAGCCUGACGGAGCAACGCCGCGUGAGUGAUGAAGGUCUUCGGAUCGUAAAACUCUGUUAUUAGGGAAGAACAUAUGUGUAAGUACCUGUGCACAUCUUGACGGUACCUAAUCAGAAAGCCACGGCUAACUACGUG
rnacentral:rRNA from 1 species